CCUAAGGCUCUUUUCAGGGCCACCUAUGUUUUCUAUAAAAAGGCGU
rfam:Mesocricetus auratus contig191463, whole genome shotgun sequence.